CCUACGGGCUGCAGCAGUCGAGAAUCAUUCACAAUGGGGGAAACCCUGAUGGUGCGACGCCGCGUGGGGGAAUGAAGGUCUUCGGAUUGUAAACCCCUGUCAUGUGGGAGCAAAUUAAAAAGAUAGUACCACAAGAGGAAGAGACGGCUAACUCUGUGCCAGCAGCCGCGGUAAUACAGAGGUCUCAAGCGUUGUUCGGAAUCACUGGGCGUAAGGCGUGCGUAGGCUGUUUCGUAAGUCGUGUGUGAAAGGCGCGGGCUCAACCCGCGGACGGCACAUGAUACUGCGAGACUAGAGUAAUGGAGGGGGAACCGGAAUUCUCGGUGUAGCAGUGAAAUGCGUAGAUAGCGAGAGGAACACUCGUGGCGAAGGCGGGUUCCUGGACAUUAACUGACGCUGAGGCACGAAGGCCAGGGGAGCGAAAGGGAUUAGAUACCCGUGUAGUC
rnacentral:rRNA from 1 species